GACGUAGGGCGCGAGCGUUGUCCGGAUUUAUUGGGCGUAAAGAGCUCGUAGGCGGCGUGUCGCGUCGACCGUGAAAACUUGUGGCUCAACUACAAGCUGGCGGUCGAUACGGGCAGGCUGGAGUCCGGAAGAGGAGUGUGGAAUUCCUGGUGUAGCGGUGAAAUGCGCAGAUAUCAGGAGGAACACCAAUGGCGAAGGCAGCACUCUGGGACGUGACUGACGCUGAGACGCGAAAGCCAGGGGAGCGAACGGG
rnacentral:rRNA from 1 species